rnacentral:rRNA from 1 species
UAAUACGAAGGAUUCGAGCGUUAUCCGGAUUUAUUGGGUUUAAAGGGUGCGUAGGUGGACUAAUAAGUCAGUGGUGAAAGCCCGCAGCUUAACUGCGGAACUGCCAUUGAUACUGUUAGUCUUGAGUACAGUUGAGGUGGGCGGAAUGUGUCAUGUAGCGGUGAAAUGCUUAGAUAUGACACAGAACACCGAUUGCGAAGGCAGCUCACUAAGCUGUAACUGACACUGAGGCACGAAAGCGUGGGGAGCAAACAGGAUUAGAUACCCUGGUAGUCCACGCCCUAAACGAUGAUUACUCGAUGUUGGCGAUACACUGUCAGCGUCUAAGCGAAAGCAUUAAGUAAUCCACCUGGGGAGUACGACCGCAAGGUUG